rnacentral:rRNA from 1 species
ACGGGUGAGUAUGUCUGGAACUGCCUGAUGAGGGGGAGUAACUACUGGAAACGGUAGCUAAUACCGCAUAACGUCGCAAGACCAAAGAGGGGGACCGUUCGGGCCUCUUGCCAUCGGAUGUGCCCAGAUGGGAUUAGCUAGUAGGUGGGGUAACGGCUCACCUAGGCGACGAUCCCUAGCUGGUCUGAGAGGAUGACCAGCCACACUGGAACUGAGACACGGUCCAG